CAUACCAGCACUAAAGCACCGGAUCCCAUCAGAACUCCGAAGUUAAGUGUGCUUGGGUGAGAGUAGUACUAGGAUGGGUGACCUCCUGGGAAGUCCUCGUGUUGCAUUCC
rnacentral:rRNA from 1 species